AUUGAACGCUGGCGGCAGGCCUAACACAUGCAAGUCGAACGGUAACAGGAAGCAGCUUGCUGCUUCGCUGACGAGUGGCGGACGGGUGAGUAAUGUCUGGGAAACUGCCUGAUGGAGGGGGAUAACUACUGGAAACGGUAGCUAAUACCGCAUAACGUCGCAAGACCAAAGAGGGGGACCUUCGGGCCUCUUGCCAUCGGAUGUGCCCAGAUGGGAUUAGCUAGUAGGUGGGGUAACGGCUCACCUAGGCGACGAUCCCUAGCUGGUCUGAGAGGGUGACCAGCCACACUGGAACUGAGACACGGUCCAGACUCCUACGGGAGGCAGCAGUGGGGAAUAUUGCACAAUGGGCGCAAGCCUGAUGCAGCCAUGCCGCGUGUAUGAAGAAGGCCUUCGGGUUGUAAAGUACUUUCAGCGGGGAGGAAGGCGAUAAGGUUAAUAACCUUGUCGAUUGACGUUACCCGCAGAAGAAGCACCGGCUAACUCCGUGCCAGCAGCCGCCGUAA
rnacentral:rRNA from 1 species